GCAAUUUAUGCUGGUUUCUUUGCAGGUCUUGCUUCCGUAUUUGCUAAAAUUGCAUUCAGUAGAAAAUUAGUCUCCAAUCUUUUAUGUGGCGAAGGAGAAUAUUUUAGUCCCAUUUUCUAUGGAAUGUUUACCUGUGAGAAAAUAGUUUCAUUGAUGCAAUUAUCCAGUGCUGGAAUGAUUCUGUUGUGCAAUGCUGUCAUGUUUCGGUCCUUUUCAAAAUCAUUGCUGCUAUGCAGUUCUGCUGCAGAAGCCACAAUCACCAAUACUGCUGCCAAUUUCUGCUUCAGUGCACUAUUUGGAUGGAUGUUGUUCAGUGAGACAUUCUCAUCAACAUGGUUUACGGGGGUGUUCUUCAUUGUUUGUGGCCUUGCAAUCAUCCACCACAAUCAGCAUUAGAUGAUACAUACAGAUGCUUUCUGAUGUAAAAGGCAAGCACUAGGAUAACACAUGGCUCAAAUUGUAUUUUACAAUGGCAAUCACUUCCAAGCCAUUGCACAAGUGUGGAAAUUAAAACAAAAUUGGACUUGCUUACGUUUGUCUCAGCUAGUGCUAAAUUAUGAUGGCGCAGAAGCCGAUAGUUAAGUCAUGUAAAAAUGAGAUAGGAGAAAUGCCAGGUGAAAAGGACACUGGAAUUGGAUAUCAGAACAGCAGGAAAGAAAAAAACGAGGAAAUGGUAGAUGAAUUGAGUCUUUGAAACAAGUCAAAAGUACAAAAGGGGGGACUAGAAGAAGAGGCAAAUGACCAACAAAGAUGGAGAACAAUCAUCAAGCUGACAGACACUCUUGAACCUCAGAGGAAUAUAUGUCUACAGUUUUUUAGGUGUACUUUAGGUAUCUUGUCUUAUUUGUUUUGGAAAUAGUUAUCUAACAUUUUUCCAUUUUUCUGGUCCUUGAUGUUUAUUUCAUUCUAUUUACAAUAAGCUCAAUGCAAUCCAACAACAAUUAUGGCAUUUUAGUCAGAACUGGACACAUAGAAAAGCUUGUGAUGAAAUGUCUCACUCUGAGAAAUAAUAUAUAAAUUUAACAAUUGGCUUAAGUAACACAGCAUUGUUAACUUUACAUGGUAACAUAUUAUAAUCAUGGUAAUUAAAUACUACAAAGGACUGCAAGUACAAAUGCUUUAAACAAAAAGAAGCUAUUAGUUUGACUUUCAAAGGAAUAAACCAAAUCUAGCAGACAAAAUAAACCACAGGCUGAAAAACUGUUUGAUCUGGUGAAGGACUAGGAUCCUCAUCUAUCACAACAUGGCAAUAUCAAA